AUGGAAGAAGAUCAGGUUAAAUUAGCAGCACUCAUCGCGGAGCUAGAGGAGCCAGUUGGUCUUUGCGACUUGCCAGCAAUUGACCCUCCUAAUACUAAGAGAAAGAAGGGAAGGGCAAUAAAGAAUUUUUCUGAGUGGAUAGAGAAAGAGCCUCCAAUGAAUUGGUCUUUGCUGCAUGACACACAUGGAGCUAGGUAUGGCCACAUGACAACCAAUCUUGCAGAGGUGUAUAACUUUGUGCUGAGAGGGAAUAGAGCAUUGCCACUCACAGCUAUUGUGGAGGCUGUAUUCCAUGGCACUUUGAGAUAUUUCAGAGAAAGGCACGAGUUAGCAAAGAAGCAUAUUGAAGAUAAUCAGAACACACCUUAUUGUAGCCGUGUCAUGGAAUACAUGGCAAAGAAGAUAGAGAAAGCAAAGAAGCACAAUGUCAGACUCAUAGGGAAUGAAGAAAGGAGGUAUGAGGUUCAGCUUCCUACCGAUGGUUUUGGUUCUGGAAAUGAGGUGAAGACACACGAGGUUAAAAUUGGAACGGAAUUUUAUCCAACGUGUGAGUGUACAUGCAACAAACCGAAGUUGCUGCACCUACCUUGCUCUCAUGUGUUGGCUGCCUGUGGCCAGAUUCAGUUGGAUGCUAUAUCCUUCGUGUCCCCAUACUAUUUAAAAGAGGCAGUGCUCAACACCUGGACAGGCGAGAUGACAAGGUUUAGAGUCGUCGGCAAUUUCAACAAGGUAAACGACGGUGAGAGAGUAUACAUCCCGCAUCCAGACCUUCGGCGAACAAGUAGGGGCAGACGAAAGGCCCGUCGCAUCCGGAACGAUAUGGACCAGUCUGAAGCUGGUGGAGCAACCAGACAAUGUUUGUUAUGCGCGGCUUAUGGGCAUAGGAUGAAAUAU
rnacentral:rRNA from 1 species